rnacentral:rRNA from 1 species
AUUGAACGCUGGCGGCAGGCCUAACACAUGCAAGUCGAACGAGUGGCGGACGGGUGAGUAAUGUCUGGGAAACUGCCUGAUGGAGGGGGAUAACUACUGGAAAAGGUAGCUAAUACCGCAUAACAUCGGAUGUGGCCAGAUGGGAUUAGCUAGUAGUGGGGGUAAAGGCUCACCUAGGCGACGAUCCCUAGCUGGUCUGAGAUGGUGACUAGCCACACUGGAACUGAGACACGGUCCAGACUCCUACGGGAGGCAGCAGUGGGGAAUUUUGCACAAUGGGCGAAAGCCUGAUGCAGCCAUGCCGCGUGUAUGAAGAAGGCCUUCGGGUUGUAAAGUACUUUCAGCGGGGAGGCGUUACCCGCAGAAGAAGCCCCGGCCAACUCCGUGCCAGCCGCCGCGGUAAUUC